rnacentral:rRNA from 1 species
GUCCACGCCGUAAACGAUGGAUACUAGCUGUUGGAAGCAAUUUCAGUGGCUAAGCGAAAGUGAUAAGUAUCCCACCUGGGGAGUACGUUCGCAAGAAUGAAACUCAAAGGAAUUGACGGGGCCCGCACAAGCGGUGGAGCAUGUGGUUUAAUUCGAUGAUACGCGAGGAACCUUACCAAGGCUUAAAUGUAGAUUGACCGGUUUGGAAACAGACUUUUCGCAAGACAAUUUACAAGGUGCUGCAUGGUUGUCGU